rnacentral:rRNA from 1 species
GUGAGGAAUAUUGGUCAAUGGGCGAGAGCCUGAACCAGCCAAGUCGCGUGAAGGAAGAAGGAUCUAUGGUUCGUAAACUUCUUUUGCAGGGGAAUAAAGUGCAGGACGUGUCCUGUUUUGUAUGUACCCUGAGAAUAAGGAUCGGCUAACUCCGUGCCAGUAGCCGCGGUAAUACGGAGGAUCCGAGCGUUAUCCGGAUUUAUUGGGUUUAAAGGGUGCGUAGGUGGUUUGAUAAGUCAGCGGUGAAAGUUUGCAGCUUAACUGUAAAAAUGCCGUUGAAACUGUCGGACUUGAGUGUAAAUGAGGUAGGCGGAAUGCGUGGUGUAGCGGUGAAAUGCAUAGAUAUCACGCAGAACUCCGAUUGCGAAGGCAGCUUACUAAGCUACAACUGACACUGAAGCACGAAAGCGUGGGGAUCAAACAGGAUUAGAUACCCGUGUAGUCC